AUGCAUUGUAUCACUAGUGGAAUGACUGUGCAUUCUACUAUAUCUCCUGCUGUGAUUAAUACCUGUACCCAGAAUCUGGAGACUUGUUCCCAGCUGCUCCCAGUGUAAUGUCAACAGUUGAUCUCCGCAGAACUCCAUCCUCUACAGGAAGAAUAUUUUAAUUAAGGACAACACAUUUAUCAAACAUUGAAUAACUCAAAUAGAUGCAAUUAUGUUGAUCACCACUGAUGAGAGGAGUUUCUGGAAGUAGAUAAUAGGAAAAUCUGACCGGAGAGAUUUCUGCGUUUGGUUAACUAUUCUCUGUGCUGACCCUGAGACACUGCAACAGUUGAUCUCCGCAGAACUCCAUCCUCUACAGGAAGAAUAUUUUAAUUAAGGACAACACAUUUAUCAAACAUUGAAUAACUCAAAUAGAUGCAAUUAUGUUGAUCACCACUGAUGAGAGAAGUUUCUGGAAGUAGAUAAUAGGAAAAUCUGACCGGAGAGAUUUCUGCGUUUGGUUAACUAUUCUCUGUGCUGACCCUGAGACACUGGAAACUGCAACAGAAGAAUAAGUGGAAUGUUUGGAAGCAGAAACCUUUUGUCACUGGUGAAAGGAGUCAAAUUGGGGAGUCUUAUUAUUAUUAUUAUUAUUAUUAUCCUUUAUUUAUGUGGCGCCACAAGGGAUCCAUAGCGCCCAAUUACAGAGUACAAAAACAAAUAAGCAAAACAAGAAAACAGUGAUUUAUGGUGGGUACACACCAGACAACGUACUCUAUGAGCGAUGUCGUACUCUAUGAGCGACGUCGCCUAGUGUUUCCCCCUUCCGGGCCGGGCGGUCGGGCAUACACACUGAGCAAUAUGACGUUCAUAUCGCUCAGUGAUGUCACGCAGUGGUCGGCCCGUGCAAGCAGCUCUUGGACGACAGUCCAGAUUAAGCUGCCUGCACGGCUGACAGCGAGGGUCGUUAACGGCCCACAGGGUCGCGCAUCGCUGGUCGGUGGCGGCAUACACACUUGCCGAGAAAACGAGCGACGUCGCUCAGGAAGGGUGAAAAUGAGCGAGGUCGCUCAUUUUCUUGGCAAGUGUGUAUGUACCAUUACAGUUGAAGACAAUAUAGGACAAGUACAGGGUAAAUAAACAUAGCUACAUCAGCAGACAACACUGACAUAAGUAUCGGUGGUAGAAAACAGCGGGAUUUGGUGUCGUCGAAGAUGGUUUAAGUAAUAGGCAGAAAAGCACAUGAGGGAAGAGGGCCCUGCUCGUGGGAGCUUACAUUCUUAUGCUCAAAUAAUACAGAAUUCAAGAAAACUUUUAUUUCCCCUAGGAAAAGAGAAGCACAAGUGGACUGACCACAUCUUCAUCUAGUAUAAACAGAAACGACCCCUAUUCAGAGAGAGUGAAAUGACAGGAAUAUCGGUAUCUCAGUUGGAGAGAGAAUUAUCCUGUUCCAAUGGGAGACGGCAGCACAGCAGGUCCUGGGCAGGCUGCCAUGUGUCUUGUUCUGAUUGAGGAGAAGAAGCAACAAGAAGCUUCACAUUCCGGGAAAUUGGUAAAUCUGGAAGCAUCACGUCCCCCAUGGAUAUAAUCCCACAGGACGUAGCAGUUUCUUCUUUGCAUGUAAUACAGUGAAAAAUAAAGGAACUUGGUGAGAUAUGAGGAUGACUGGGAAUCUCUGGAUGCGUUUCAGCAGGUCCAGCUGAAGCACCUUUCCAGGUUGUCUGGCCUCCAAUUAAGAAAAGCUUGGAACUACUACGUGGUGAGCAAGAAGAAGUAAUACAGUUACUUGAAGCCCUGAGUCAUUCUCUUGCAUUUUCAUUCCACAACAAACUUAAGUAGAAUGCACAACAGAAUGCACCCUUUGGAAGCAGACCAAGUAAAGUUGUGGGAUACGGCACUGAAAUGCGCCUUAUUUGUGUAGAUCGUAUGGCUACAAGAAGAUGGAGAAUUAUUGCUCAAGGCUUUGGGGGGUAGUAGAUUCCUUGAAUAAGGCUUUCAACUUCAGUUACAUUUUACACUGAUUCCAUCAAUUUGAAAAUUACUUGGGAAGAUCAUAGAACACAAGGUUCUAUUCAUUAUACUUCUUUGGCACCAUGAUGGCAGCUACAACAUCAUCAGAUUACUAUUGAAUCUGUCAACACUUCUUUGCUUGGUGUGCAUCUCUGGGAUAUUCCAUACCUGCCCAGUCGUGUGAAACAGUGUGGGAUCUCUGGCUGCAGGACAGUCUAGAAAAAUGUUGACGCAUUGAAGGUGAAAGUUUUGCUUUGUCAGCAUUAAUGGACAUUAAUUGGCCAGUGGAACCAUUAGUCUGCAGAUUAAGUAAAGUAGUGAUUCAUCCAAAUACUCAGAUUAGAUCAUAAGUUUGGAUCAUCAAAAUCACCACACGAUCUUCCUGUGAUUCUUCAAGCAUUGAUGGAAGUGCAUUUUAAAACCAUGGGGUCCAUUUCUAGGUAUGACAUUUCACUUGUGAUGAGUUUUCUGCUAGCCAGAGAAGUGGGUGAACUUCAAGUGAAAACCCCCUACUUGUCCUUCAAAUAGGACAGGAGAUGUUUCACCCUGAAGUGGUGUCAACCUUUUAUGAGAAUCAGGAUAUCGUCCUUCCAUUGCUGGUUCCAAACUUUAAGAUCCCAAAGAAAAAAGAUCUGAUGACUUGGAAACAGACAGGUGCCUCAACAUUUAUAUUGAAAUAAAUCAAAGCUUCAGGAGUUCUUAAUCCCUUUAACUUUAUGAAAAAUCAAGGUUCUCCAACUUCUAGAAGCACUGUCUCCAAGUCCUUGGCUGGUUCAGGAAAUAUAUUGUUGUUGAAGAGCCAUUCAGUCUCAGAGAAAGUUCACAGAGUCCUCUCUGCCUCCUGUGCAUGUCAAGCCGUAGUUUGUCUGGAUGAGAUAUGCGGGGCCAGAGUAUGGUCUGCAAUUAACACAUUUGUUGAUCAUUACAAAGUUGAUACUUUUCAAGUUAAUUUUGACAAUAAAGUUUUGAAAGUCAUUCUCUGAAUAAA